CAGGGGAGUCAUGGAAUUGUUUCUGGCCUCUUAGUUCUUACGAUCAUAACCGCCUCCAGAAGGCAGUCGCGCACCACCUUCCUCCAGGUGCAGCGUGGGACGUGCACGGUGACGUGAGGGUCUUGGUUAGCUGUGCAACAUAUGUUAAGGCAAAGGACUACCUGAAAAAGUCCUUACUGUGUUUAACAUCAGACAUACAGUCAGAGGCUGAAGACCCUAUCAGAAGGAAAAAAAGGCCAAACUCACGCUACCUGCAGGAGCCAGCUGGAAGAGUCCAGACCACUAGGGGCCCGCCGCAACACUUUUUUGAAGGUGCAGACCUUUAGAGUUAAACUGAACAGCAAUGAAACAUUUUAGAAAUUAAAAUAUAAAUAUUUCAGAAACGGCUGUUUGACUGCCCAUUUUGUCUGAAAUUAAACUGGCACUUACUAUGCUUCAAGGUGUGGACACUGAUGACGAGGCACCACCCCCCCCAAGGAAAACAGCACGACAAUCUGUAGAUGUAGGGCCAGACAUCAAUAGUGAGUGGCUAUUUGGGCCAUCGACCACCCAAAGAGGUAAUUUUACUUAUCAAUAAUUGUUCCUCAUACAUAGUUUUCC